GGGGAUAUAGCUCAGUGGUAGAGCGCUUGCCUAGGGAGCGCAAGGCCCUGGGUUCGGUCCCCAGCUCCG
rnacentral:tRNA from 1 species